UACGGGGGGGGCAAGCGUUGUUCGGAAUUACUGGGCGUAAAGGGCGCGUAGGCGGUUCGCUAAGUUGGAUGUGAAAACUCUGGGCUCAACCCAGAGCCUGCAUCCAAAACUGGCGGGCUAGAGUUCUGGAGGGGGUAGCGGAAUUCCUGGUGUAGCGGUGAAAUGCGUAGAUAUCAGGAGGAACACCGGUGGCGAAGGCGACUUCCUGGCCUGUUCUUGACGCUGAGGCGCGAAAGCUAGGGGAGCAAACGGG
rnacentral:rRNA from 1 species